rnacentral:rRNA from 1 species
UACGCAGGGUGCAAGCGUUAAUCGGAAUUACUGGGCGUAAAGCGUGCGCAGGCGGUUUCGUAAGUCUGUCGUGAAAUCCCCGGGCUUAACCUGGGAAUGGCGAUGGAGACUGCGAGGCUAGAGUUUGGCAGAGGGGGGUAGAAUUCCACGUGUAGCAGUGAAAUGCGUAGAGAUGUGGAGGAACACCGAUGGCGAAGGCAGCCCCCUGGGUCAAAACUGACGCUCAUGCACGAAAGCGUGGGGAGCAAACAGG